GACAGAGGUGCCGAGCGUUAGGCGGAAUCACUGGGCUUAAAGCGUGUGUAGGCGGGUCGUUAAGUGCCUUGUGAAAUCCCACCGGCUCACCGGUGGAACUGCUUGGCCAUACUGCGGGUCUUGGGGCCGACUAGGGGCAGCCGGAACGAAGCGGUGGAGCGGUGAAAUGCGUAGAUACUCGCAUUGGAACGCCGAAGGUGAAACAGGCUGCUGGGGUCGCGCCGACGCUGAGACACGAAAGCCAGGGGAGCAAACGGG
rnacentral:rRNA from 1 species